rnacentral:rRNA from 1 species
ACCAGACUCCUACGGGAGGCAGCAGUGGGGGAUAUUGCACAAUGGGGGAAACCCUGAUGCAGCGACGCCGCGUGGGUGAAGAAGUAUUUCGGUAUGUAAAGCCCUAUCAGCAGGGAAGAAAGAAGACGGUACCUGACUAAGAAGCCCCGGCUAACUACGUGCCAGCAGCCGCGGUAAUACGUAGGGGGCGAGCGUUAUCCGGAUUCACUGGGUGUAAAGGGAGCGUAGACGGCCGUGCAAGCCAGGAGUGAAAGCCCGGGGCCCAACCCCGGGACUGCUCUUGGAACUGUGCGGCUGGAGUGCGGGAGGGGCAGGCGGAAUUCCUGGUGUAGCGGUGAAAUGCGUAGAUAUCAGGAGGAACACCGGCGGCGAAGGCGGCCUGCUGGACCGCGACUGACGUUGAGGCUCGAAAGCGUGGGGAGCGAACAGGAUUAGAUACCCGUGUAA